rnacentral:tRNA from 1 species
GCCUGGGUGGCUCAGUCAGUUGAGCAUCUGACUUCAGCUCAGGUCACGAUCUCACGGUUCGUGGGUUCGAGCCCCGCGUCGGGCU